GUGCUCACUUCGGCAGCACGUAUACUAAGAUUGGAACUAUACAGAGAUCAGCAUGGCCCCUGUGCAAGGGUGAUACACAAAUUCAUGAAGCAUUCCAUGUUAAA
rnacentral:snRNA from 1 species